UACAUCCAGCGAGGAGGGCUCUCCAGAGCUGCACUGAACGUGCCGCUAAAUGUUUAUUUUUUAAUGUUAGAGGCACUUAUAUUCAGUUUUCCCAGGUUUUCCUAAAGCCGCAGGAAACAAGCAUUGAUGAGCAGCAAUGUCGCUGUAUGAUGACCUCGGUGUGGGUGCCAGUGACACCAAGACUGAAGGAUGGUCUAAAAACUUCAAGCUGCUGCAGUCCCAGCUGAAAGUGAAGAAAGCAGCUCUGACUCAGGCAAAGACCCAGCGGAUGAAGCAGACCACUGUCUUGGCUCCAGUUAUUGAUCUUAAGAGAGGAGGCUCAAGUGAUGACAGACAGAUCACAGACACUCCUCCACAUGCUGCUGCUGGACUUAAGGACGCCGUGCCCAGCGGUUUCUCCUCUGGCGAUGUGCUGAUCCCUUUGGCAGACGAAUACGAUCCAAUGUUCCCCAACGACUAUGAGAAGGUGGUGAAGCGACACCGAGAAGAACGACAGCGACAGAGGGAGCAGGAGCGGCAGAAGGAGAUAGAGGAGAGAGAAAAAAAGAGGAAAGACAGGCACGAUGGUGGCGCCCCAAGUGGUUUCUCCCGUUUCCCUGCAGCUGAGGGCGAGUCAGAUGAGGAGGAGGACUACGAGAAAGAGCGAAGGAAACGAAGUGGAGCAGCUAUCGCCCCUCCUUCUUCACUUGUAGACAGAGAUGGUUCAUCUUCAUUUUCCUACGACGAUGAAGGUCGUCCUGCUAGAGGUUCAAAGGCCGCCAUCCCUCCACCUAUGUAUGAAGACUCAGAGCGGCCACGUUCACCACCUGCACCAACCAGCUCCUUCCUGGCCAACAUGGGAGGUACGGUGGCCCAUAAGAUCAUGCAGAAGUACGGCUUCAAAGAAGGCCAGGGCCUGGGGAAGCAUGAGCAGGGCCUCAGCACGGCACUGUCUGUGGAGAAGACCAGCAAGAGAGGCGGGAAGAUCAUCAUAGGGGACGCUGCGGAAAAACCUGGAUCCAGCCAGACAGGUGCUGCUGAGACGUCAGUCGGAGGCUCUGCAGCGGACUCUUCAAAGAAGUCAGAGGCCAACCCGCUCACAGAGAUCCUCAAAAACCCGACAAAAGUGGUCCUGCUCAGGAACAUGGUGGGCCGUGGAGAGGUGGACGAAGACUUGGAGGGAGAGACAAAAGAAGAGUGCGAGAAGUACGGCAAAGUGGUUAAAUGUGUCAUUUUUGAGAUUGCAGCUGUGCCAGAUGAUGAAGCUGUCAGGAUAUUUCUGGAGUUCGAGAGGGUGGAGUCAGCCAUCAAAGCUGUUGUGGAUCUGAAUGGACGUUAUUUCGGUGGACGAGUCGUCAAGGCCUGCUUCUACAACCUAGAUAAGUUUCGGGUUUUGGACCUCGGUGAGCAGGUCUGAUGUCAUCAUGAGGACACAACCCCUCUUCACUUGUACAUUACCCUCUUUUUAUAUUUCCUGGACAGCAGUGAAGUCUCUGUAUGUAGCGAACUCAGCUGCCCGGUUACUCACUCACACCCGCUCCAGAGACCACAUCACCACUGUCCUCCAACAGCUCCACCGGCUCCCCAUACAACAGCGCAUCCACUUCCAGAUCCUGCUCAUCACCUACAAAUCCCUCAAUAACCUGGCCCCCCGAUACCUCACUGACCUUCUGCAGCACUCUCGC